CAAUGGAAUCAGGUUUCGAACCUGGGACCCUCCGCCCUCAAAGCCGAGACCUUACCACUAGGCCAAUUCCCACU